rnacentral:tRNA from 1 species
UGUGCUAUAGCUAAGUGGCAGAGCACUUGCCUAACAUGCACGAGGCAUUGGGUUCCAUCCUCAGCACCACAU